GUGGAGUUAUGUGACUGUAGGUGGAGGUAAAGAUGUAUGGGACUGUAGGUGGAGGUAUGUGACUGUAGGUGGAGGUAAAGAGGUAUGGGACUGUAGGUGGAGGUAAAGAGGUAAGUAACUGUAGGUGGAGGUAUGGGACUGUAGGUGGAGGUAAACAGGUUUGGGACUGUAGCUGGAGGUAAAGAGGUAUGUGACUGUAGGUGGAGGUAUGGGACUGUAGGUGGAGGUAUAGAGGUAUGGGACUGUAGGUGGAGGUAAAGAGGUAUGGGACUGUAGGUGGAGGUA
ensembl:lncRNA